GUUAGGAAUAUUGGACAAUGGGCGAAAGCCUGAUCCAGCCAUGCCGCGUGUGUGAAGAAGGUCUUCGGAUUGUAAAGCACUUUAAGUUGGGAGGAAGGGCAGUAAGUUAAUACCUUGCUGUUUUGACGUUACCGACAGAAUAAGCACCGGCUAACUUCGUGCCAGCAGCCGCGGUAAUACGAAGGGUGCAAGCGUUAAUCGGAAUUACUGGGCGUAAAGCGCGCGUAGGUGGUUUUGUAAGUUGGAGGUGAAAUCCCCGGGCUCAACCUGGGAACUGCCUCCAAAACUGCAUGACUAGAGUACGGUAGAGGGUAGUGGAAUUUCCUGUGUAGCGGUGAAAUGCGUAGAUAUAGGAAGGAACACCAGUGGCGAAGGCGACUACCUGGACUGAUACUGACACUGAGGUGCGAAAGCGUGGGGAGCAAACAGGAUUAGAAACCCUUGUAGUCC
rnacentral:rRNA from 1 species